AGUCUGCAACUCGACUACAUGAAGCUGGAAUCGCUAGUAAUCGCGAAUCAGAAUGUCGCGGUGAAUACGUUCCCGGGUCUUGUACACACCGCCCGUCACACCAUGGGAGUCAGUAACGCCCGAAGUCAGUGACCCAACCAAUCAGGAGGGAGCUGCCGAAGGUGGGACCGAUAACUGGGGUGAAGUCGUAACAAGGUACC
rnacentral:rRNA from 1 species